GCGGCUACUAUGGAUGUCCACAAGAUCGACUGCUUAGCACCCCAUUUGACAGCCAUCAAGCCACCGAUGAAGUUACCAGGAACAUUUCCGUAGCUGUAUGCAGCAAUCAGUUGACCGCGAAUCUCAGGUCUCCAGUCGAAAGUCUUCCAGAUAGGCGCCCGGAUCCAACCAAGAAAUCGCGCGGCGAACUCGGGACUGCUCGCCUCUGCAGACACCCUCGGUUAUGUUACCCGGUAGAGCUUUGAUCAUUGGCACGGCGAGGAUCGGCAUUUGCAGACGGCACAUGUAAUUGGUCCAACAGGCCGUGAACAUCAUUAUGCAGAUCAGAACUCGUGUCGGAAUCCAUUCUGCAACAAAUAAGAAGAUCCUACUUCCGUUUCGUGUAUUAUUCCGAUGAAAGUUUCCUUUGGAUACUCGAAUCAGCUUACCAAUCGAUUUCCAUGUGAAAACAGUAUCCAAUGAUAAU